AGCGUACACGGUGGAUGCCCUGGCAGUCAGAGGCGAUGAAGGACGUGCUAAUCUGCGAUAAGCGUCGGUGAGGUGAUAUGAACCGUUAUAACCGGCGAUUUCCGAAUGGGGAAACCCAGUGUGUUUCGACACACUAUCAUUAACUGAAUCCAUAGGUUAAUGAGGCGAACCGGGGGAACUGAAACAUCUAAGUACCCCGAGGAAAAGAAAUCAACCGAGAUUCCCCCAGUAGCGGCGAGCGAACGGGGAGGAGCCCAGAGCCUGAAUCAGUGUGUGUGUUAGUGGAAGCGUCUGGAAAGGCGUGCGAUACAGGGUGACAGCCCCGUACACAAAAAUGCACAUAUUGUGAGCUCGAUGAGUAGGGCGGGACACGUGGUAUCCUGUCUGAAUAUGGGGGGACCAUCCUCCAAGGCUAAAUACUCCUGACUGACCGAUAGUGAACCAGUACCGUGAGGGAAAGGCGAAAAGAACCCCGGCGAGGGGAGUGAAAAAGAACCUGAAACCGUGUACGUACAAGCAGUGGGAGCCUCUUAAUGGGGUGACUGCGUACCUUUUGUAUAAUGGGUCAGCGACUUAUAUUCUGUAGCAAGGUUAACCGAAUAGGGGAGCCGAAGGGAAACCGAGUCUUAACUGGGCGUUAAGUUGCAGGGUAUAGACCCGAAACCCGGUGAUCUAGCCAUGGGCAGGUUGAAGGUUGGGUAAAGCCAUGGGCAGGUUGAAGGUUGGGUAACACUAACUGGAGGACCGAACCGACUAAUGUUGAAAAAUUAGCGGAUGACUAAUGUUGAAAAAUUAGCGGAUGACUUGUGGCUGGGGGUGAAAGGCCAAUCAAACCGGGAGAUAGCUGGUUCUCCCCGAAAGCUAUUUAGGUAGCGCCUCGUGAAUUCAUCUCCGGGGGUAGAGCACUGUUUCGGCAAGGGGGUCAUCCCGACUUACCAACCCGAUGCAAACUGCGAAUACCGGAGAAUGUUAUCACGGGAGACACACGGCGGGUGCUAACGUCCGUCGUGAAGAGGGAAACAACCCAGACCGCCAGCUAAGGUCCCAAAGUCAUGGUUAAGUGGGAAACGAUGUGGGAAGGCCCAGACAGCCAGGAUGUUGGCUUAGAAGCAGCCAUCAUUUAAAGAAAGCGUAAUAGCUCACUGGUCGAGUCGGCCUGCGCGGAAGAUGUAACGGGGCUAAACCAUGCACCGAAGCUGCGGCAGCGACACUAUGUGUUGUUGGGUAGGGGAGCGUUCUGUAAGCCUGUGAAGGUGGCCUGUGAGGGUUGCUGGAGGUAUCAGAAGUGCGAAUGCUGACAUAAGUAACGAUAAAGCGGGUGAAAAGCCCGCUCGCCGGAAGACCAAGGGUUCCUGUCCAACGUUAAUCGGGGCAGGGUGAGUCGACCCCUAAGGCGAGGCCGAAAGGCGUAGUCGAUGGGAAACAGGUUAAUAUUCCUGUACUUGGUGUUACUGCGAAGGGGGGACGGAGAAGGCUAUGUUGGCCGGGCGACGGUUGUCCCGGUUUAAGCGUGUAGGCUGGUUUUCCAGGCAAAUCCGGAAAACCAAGGCUGAGGCGUGAUGACGAGGCACUACGGUGCUGAAGCGACAAAUGCCCUGCUUCCAGGAAAAGCCUCUAAGCAUCAGGUAACAUCAAAUCGUACCCCAAACCGACACAGGUGGUCAGGUAGAGAAUACCAAGGCGCUUGAGAGAACUCGGGUGAAGGAACUAGGCAAAAUGGUGCCGUAACUUCGGGAGAAGGCACGCUGAUAUGUAGGUGAAGCGACUUGCUCGUGGAGCUGAAAUCAGUCGAAGAUACCAGCUGGCUGCAACUGUUUAUUAAAAACACAGCACUGUGCAAACACGAAAGUGGACGUAUACGGUGUGACGCCUGCCCGGUGCCGGAAGGUUAAUUGAUGGGGUUAGCGGCAACGCGAAGCUCUUGAUCGAAGCCCCGGUAAACGGCGGCCGUAACUAUAACGGUCCUAAGGUAGCGAAAUUCCUUGUCGGGUAAGUUCCGACCUGCACGAAUGGCGUAAUGAUGGCCAGGCUGUCUCCACCCGAGACUCAGUGAAAUUGAACUCGCUGUGAAGAUGCAGUGUACCCGCGGCAAGACGGAAAGACCCCGUGAACCUUUACUAUAGCUUGACACUGAACAUUGAGCCUUGAUGUGUAGGAUAGGUGGGAGGCUUUGAAGUGUGGACGCCAGUCUGCAUGGAGCCGACCUUGAAAUACCACCCUUUAAUGUUUGAUGUUCUAACGUUGGCCCGUAAUCCGGGUUGCGGACAGUGUCUGGUGGGUAGUUUGACUGGGGCGGUCUCCUCCUAAAGAGUAACGGAGGAGCACGAAGGUUGGCUAAUCCUGGUCGGACAUCAGGAGGUUAGUGCAAUGGCAUAAGCCAGCUUGACUGCGAGCGUGACGGCGCGAGCAGGUGCGAAAGCAGGUCAUAGUGAUCCGGUGGUUCUGAAUGGAAGGGCCAUCGCUCAACGGAUAAAAGGUACUCCGGGGAUAACAGGCUGAUACCGCCCAAGAGUUCAUAUCGACGGCGGUGUUUGGCACCUCGAUGUCGGCUCAUCACAUCCUGGGGCUGAAGUAGGUCCCAAGGGUAUGGCUGUUCGCCAUUUAAAGUGGUACGCGAGCUGGGUUUAGAACGUCGUGAGACAGUUCGGUCCCUAUCUGCCGUGGGCGCUGGAGAACUGAGGGGGGCUGCUCCUAGUACGAGAGGACCGGAGUGGACGCAUCACUGGUGUUCGGGUUGUCAUGCCAAUGGCACUGCCCGGUAGCUAAAUGCGGAAGAGAUAAGUGCUGAAAGCAUCUAAGCACGAAACUUGCCCCGAGAUGAGUUCU
rnacentral:rRNA from 1 species